GCCAGCCCGCUCAGAACUCAAAGGAAUUGACGGGGCCCGCACAGCGGUGGAGCACGUGGUUUAAUUCGAUGCAACGCGAAGAACCUUACCUGGUCUUGACAUCCCGGAGACCCUUAGGAAACUAGGGGGUGCUUCCAUCUGGAAGAAUCUGGAGACAGGUGCUGCAUGGCUGUCGUCAGCUCGUGUCGUGAGAUGUUGGGUUAAGUCCCGCAACGAGCGCAACCCUUGCCUUUAGUUGCCAGCAGUUCGGCUGGGCACUCUAAAGGGACUGCCGGUGUUAAACCGGAGGAAGGUGGGGAUGACGUCAAGUCCUCAUGGCCUUUAUGACCAGGGCUACACACGUACUACAAUGGCCGAUACAAAGGGCAGCGACACUGCGAGGUGAAGCCAAUCCCGUAAAAUCGGUCUCAGUCCGGAUUGGAGUCUGCAACUCGACUCCAUGAAGUUGGAAUCGCUAGUAAUCGUGGAUCAGCAUGCCACGGUGAAUACGUUCCCGGGCCUU
rnacentral:rRNA from 1 species